CGCUGGCAGGCAGCUGGUCAGGAGAGGAGAAGGGGGCGGUGAGGAGAAGUGCAGAGAGGCAGAGACCCCCGUGGGAGGGAGCGCUGACUCAGGGAGCCCCACCUCCCGGGGCCUGAGGCCUUAGUGACGUGACACGAGGCAGCCUGGUUCCUGCCUCAGCUGUUCUGGCUGGAUGUGCUUUGAGGAAGGGCGUCCCAGACCUCUCUCCAGGGGCAGGCACGGCGCCCCAGGCCUGCAGGGGCAGCGAGGGCUCCAUCCCGGGGAGGCGCCGCUCUCCCCGCUGUAUGCUCAUUUCCAGACUGGUAACCAAGUCGUCGUCAGGUAUGUUUCACAGACAAGCAGUGUGAGGCCGGCCUGGGCCAGCCCUGCCUGGCGGGUGUGGGGGGCAGAGGGAGCGAGGGGUCCAGAGGGCGAGCCCGGGCCGGGCAGAAGUCCUCCCCCUUCAGGCUGGAGGUGAGAGCAGGACCCGGGGCUGCACCGGGAGGGCCCCGAGGGGGCAAUUCCCAGACCUGCUCUUGAGAUGAUGCCAGCCAUAGUUGCUGGAAAGCCAUUGGCAUCUGGUUCAAAGCCUUACUAAAGCCAGCGCUCCGAGCAGGGAGGCCAGGUGAGAAUCUGCCCUGGGCGUGCUGGACAUGCUGAUCUCGACUCACGCCCGGAGAGAGGACCUGGGGCCAUACUUAUGUGGCCUGAAACCGGCGGCUACUUAAAGUCCCCAUUAGAGGAAGACUAUCUAAAUCAUGGAGUGAUUAAUAUGAAUGCGGUGCGGUGAUUACUAGACGUAUGAGUUAACACCAAAAAAAUCCUUGCAAUGUGACCUUGAGCACAAAACACAGGCAACAAAAUCGUCCCCAACCCUAAACAGCGAAAAGGCUGGAAGGAAAUAUAUGACUGUGUCAACAGUGAGUUUAUGAGUUUCUUUCCUUUUUGUCUUAAAUUUUUUUAUUUGGUAUUUUACAUAUUUUUGAUUAGGACAAAAGUUAUUAAAAAAAAAAGAGAAGGUGAAAUGCUAUUAUCACGUUGGUAUGAGGUGGGUAUCAGUGAAUUCAUCCAUCCCGUCCCACUAACAUCCUGAUCUUGCUGAGGCUGGACCUUUGCUGGGCUAAGGUCCAAGGAGGGGGUGACACUGGGUCCUGACCCGUGGGGACCCAUGUGUAUUGGGGGCAGCUGACCAAGGACCAGGCCUUCAGCUGUGGUGAAGGGGAGCAGGUGGGGCACCUGGGGUGUAGAGAAAGCUUCUCAGAAGAAGAGGUUCCAGGAAGACCUGCCCUGGGGGCAGACCCAAGGGGCGCCAGUUGGGAGAAGGGUUUAGUUAGCUUCCUGCAAUGGAGGCCCUGGCUCGGGGUUCCGUGCACGCUCUUCUGGUUCCCUGAAGGAUGCUGGUGAGCUGCUGCCCACUGUGUCCUCAAUUUUCUCCUGAGGCAGGCCAGCGGGGUCGAGUCCCCAGUGGGCAAUUUGCCAGCAAGGUCAAGACAAAGCUUUUAUGAGCCUUAUUGUCUCAUAUGUGUCGUCAGAGUAGGCUCAGUGAGCUGCCCUCCCGCAGAUACUCCCGGGAGGUACGUGUCCUGCCAGGCUGGUGGGCAGCAGGUCAGAGUGGUCCGGUGGGCCGUCCUCGCGGUCCCGGGGCCUGGUGCUGGCAGAGUCCUUGGAAACAUGGGAUGAGGGGGGAGGAAGGGGCUGCGGGAUCAGGGCAGGCCUGGGGUCAGAGCUCGGCAGUGACCCUGUGUCCGGUGUCUGGGGGCAGGGCUGCUGCCGCUCUCACCCGGCCCUGGGCUCCUCAGACGAAUUCAAGGUCAACGAACAAACAGUGUCAGAGUCUUGGGCAGACAUCUGUUCCUGCCUAAGGCUGGCAUCGCUGGAAGACGCAGUAAACAUGGCUGUAACUGCGCAGGGCUGUCUCUCCCCAACCUGUGUUCCUCCCCAAGGUGGCUCCGGGUCCUGGCAGGUCCUGCGUAUGAGGAUGAAGCUACAUGACCAGCAGUAAGUUCCAAGGUUUAAUUCCCCCUCCUCUGCAACCCCCUCCCUCGGACCUUCCCAACCCCCAACUACUGCUUUUCUGGGAUCCCAGGUGCCUGCCCACGUGGUCUUCCCUCUCCUGCUCUGUCCCCCAUGAAGCUGCUCCACGCACAGCACCCUUGGGAGAAUGCUCAGGGGCAGGGCACAAGGAGGGUCCCCAGUUGUCUGGUCCUGGAGUCUCCCUACACCCCCCAGCCCUUGGUGCUGGCCCCGAGGCCCUGGUCCUCCGCCUGUCACACCUGUGGUGAUUGCGCUGUCCCCUGGCCCCUUCCUGAGGGCAUCUGUGGCCCCAGGUCCCUGUGGUCAGGGCUGUUCCUCUCCCCCGGCCUGAGCCAGGUGCCCAGAGGAGGGUCUUUGGCCCAGGAAACCUCUUUGUGGCCGACCAGUGACCUAGGCCCCAGGGGAAGCCACAAGGGCCUGAGCUGGGCCAGAUCCCCAGAGUGGGGACAGUGUGAAGUGGAGAAGCCAGCAGAGGCUGUGGCCAGGGAGGGGCCCGGAGGGAGCUGCACGAGAGCUCCCACCGAGAGCCUGUCUGGCUGGGACUCUCCUUCCCCUCUGCACAGGGCUCAGAGCUGGUCCGAGGGCCAGGCGGCCCCUCCCCAUUCCCUCUCGUCACCAGGCAGCUCCCCCCGAGCCCCUGCUUGGGAGAUGCGGGUGUGGGUGGCAGUCAGUGGGCUGCUCCCUGAUGUGUGCUCAGCUGGCCACCUUCCAGGCACGCAGAAGGGGGAACCUCCUGGUUUCCUCACGGUUGGGUGGGGCCCAGUGACUGGCCCGGGCUUAAUUGUGAGCAGAAGGGCUGAGUGUAAGCUCCAGGCUGGGUGUUCACUCUCUGAUGUCAGACCCUUCAGAGCUCCUGCUUCCUCUUCCAGUGACCAGCCAAACCCCUUGAGGCAGCUUGACUUGCCCAGAAAUGAGGCGGUGCCCCCAGCUGGAGGGGCCCUGGUGAUGCAUCUAGCUCAACCCUCCCAUUUCACAGAGGGAGAAACUGAGGCUGGAGAGGGAAGGGCGGUGUCUCAGGCCACACAGCCACUUGGUGACACAGCUGGAACCCGAUCUCUGCGUGGUGCCUUAGCCUCUUUUGUGCUGAAUCAUGUUGCCUCCAGAAAGUGGAUUUGUGGAAGUGUUUCCAAAGCAGAACAGAAAAGUGAGUGGCCUGACUUUGGGGCGAGGGAGAGUUCAUAAAGUAAGGAGAAUGCUCACUGGACACUCAUGAUUAAAGUUAGCCUGAGGCCAGAAGGGUGUGUACAGCUGCUCACACAGGCUGAGGCUUCCUGGCAGGGGAGUGGCCAGGCGAGGCCCAGGGCAUCCUUGGGCAAAGGUUUGUACUUCCUGAAGCACACAGCCAGGCCGGAGGUCUGCUGGGAAGGGAGAAGGCAGAGAUCAGAUGCAGGAUGGGAUGAGGGCCAGCGAUGGGCUGCCCCGUUCGCAGCGUGGCUGGCUGGGCCCUUUCUGGAUAGACUCGUGGUGCUGCCCUAGGCAGUUGUACCAGCCUGUUUUGGAGGGUGCUUGCCCACGUUACGUGAUUUGUCCAGGCUCACGCAGCUUGUGGUGACAGAGCUGGGGUUUGACCCUGAGUCCCUGGAGCCGGCUCGUGUAGCUGCGGAAGAAAACCAGGCUUUGCACCUAGAUCUUGCCACAUUUGAGCUGUGUGUCUUUGGGAGAACCGCUUUGCCUCUCUGAGCCUCAGUUUCCUUGCCUGCCCAUCAGGUAGAGGUCCUAGGGCAGAUCUUGGGACAGAUGUCCUGGUGUUCCCACGAGUUUUGUAAACAAUGUGUGUGAAUGCCGAGCAGUGCCCAGCAAAUGGCCGGCCUGCCCUUGACUGUGAUUUCGGGGGUCCCAGGCUGGGUCUCUGGAGGUUUCUCAAGCACAGAACAAGUUUCUCUCCCCUGGUGACCCGUGGGGGUGAGUGCACUUUCCCUGGAAGAGAAGCCUGGUUUCCUGAGGUCUGUGGGUGGUUCUGAGAAAAGAUCAGCCCCUUCUGGGAAGGAAGGAGGAGAAAGGGUGGUGGCAGAGAGCAGCUGGGGCCUGAGCGGAGAGGUCAGGUGAGGGGAGCAGACUGUGCCAGGAAAAGCGUAUUGAUUUCCUCCUUUUAGAAAUGGAUUCAAGUGGAAUCAUUCAUAAUGUGCUCUCCCCACCACAGACAAUACCCAUUCCCAUCACUGUCAGGGAAAUGGAUUUGCAGCACUCUGGGAAAGAGAAAACAGAUUGCCUGAGAUGCGCAAAGACAGCUUGGUUCUGUCCCCACAUGCUUUCUGCAGAGCCUGGUGGUGGCUUGCUGGGGACGGAGGGCAGAGCAAUGCACCGUCAGGGCUGCUCUAGGGACAAGGUCUGCAUUGAGCAUUGCAGCCAUAACAAGUGGUCAACCCUUGGUGGGCAGGGUCUCCAAGGGGGUAUUGAUGGAGCCGGGGGUCGGGAGGCCACCUGGGGGAUGCAGGAUUUGCGCUGAGCCUCAGAAGCAGGAGUGGCCAUGAAGAGCAGUCUGGGUAGAUGGACGCCAUACCCAAGGGCUGGCCGAGGGGCUUCUUUUUUUUUUUUUAAUUAAUUAAUUGAUUGAUUGAUUUAUUCAUUUAUUUAUUUAUGGCUGUGUUGGGUCUCCGUUUCUGUGCGAGGGCUUUCUCCAGUUGUGGCGAGCCGGGGCCACUCUUCAUCGCGGUGCGCGCGCCUCUCACUAUCGCGGCCUCUCUGGUUGCAGAGCACAAGCUCCAGACGUGCAGGCUCAGUAAUUGUGGCUAACGGGGCUAGUUGCUCCGCGGCAUGUGGGAUCUUCCCAGAACAGGGCUCAAACCCGUGUCCCCUGCAUUGGCAGGCAGAGUCUCAACCACUGUGCCACCAGGGAAGCCCCCGAGGGGCUUCUUGCUGGGAACCAGCAGAAGCUUUGUGUGGCUGGGACCCAUGGGGUAAAGGUGGGAGGUGGUGGCUGGAGCGGAGGGCAGGGGUGGUGCUGGCCGUCUUGACACCUUUCCUUGCUGCCACCCUUGAGGGACUGCAGUCCAGGCGUGCAUCAGAACACCUCUGGAGACAAGAGUAGGUGUGAGUGCAGCCUCUGUCAGUCAACCAAAGGUGCCUGCCCUGGUCCUGGAAGAGGCUGACUGGGGUCACGGUUCUGCUUCCCUUAGGCUUGGCCUGAGGCUGCCUGGCAGCAGGGUGGCUUCAGCGGACACUGGGCUCAGCCAGCCGUGACCCACUCUGGACAGGGCCCCGGGGCCAGCCCCCUGCCCAGCCAGACUGCAGGGCGCGUCUUGUUGUUGGUCCGUUCAUUCAUUCAUCUGUUCAUCCUUUCCCCAGGAGGAAUAUCAACACCAACGCUAGGUAAGCUGGACUCAUGGCAUUAAGUGGGGCAGGGGGUGGGGGGCACAUGGACAGACACAGGCCUUGGAGCCAAGGAGACCUGUGAUCAAGUCGCACGCACGAGUGUGUGACCUCUAGAAAGCCAUCUAAGAUCUCUGAGUCUCAGUUUCCUCAACGGCAAAAUGGGGCUAACUCUCGUCAGGUGGUCGUGGGGCCCCAGGGAUACAGUAACUGUAAAGGAAGUGGCAGGUGCCAGGCCCCCACCUGGGCACUGGGAGCUCAACAAGGUGCCUUCAUGUACCAAGACACAGUGGGAAGUCGGUGCCCCAGGGCCUUGGCACAUGCCGUGUCCGUGCCUGGAGUGCUCUUCUUCCUGAUACCCUGUGGUCAGCUCCUGAACUUCCUUCAGGGGUUUGCUUGGCUGUCAUCUUCUCAGCGAGGCUCCCUGGUCACCCCCUCAACCCUGGGCACAGGCCAUCUCACGUGGAUUUGUGAGGUUCACGAAGGCGGGGCUUUGAUCUUUGUUCCCUGAGUCUCUUCUGUGCCUAGAACAGUGCCUGGCACAUGGCACCGGGUGAAGGGAUGUUGCUAAGAUACUGUGCAGUGCAAGGUCACCAGCGCAUUGCUCAUUGACCCCACGACCACGGAAACGGGGCCCAGGGUCACAGUGGAAGGGACUCUGCUGGCCUCCUGAUCCUCGGUGAGGUGCUGGGGAGAGCACGCUGGGCUUUGAAGCGGAAAGAGCUGGUUUGACCAUGUGUAUGUGUGUGUGUGUGUGUGUGUGUGUGUGUGUGUGUGUGUCUGUGUGUGGUGGGGAGGCCCUGUCCCAGCUGGCAAGGAGCUCCUGGUCUGAGGGGGACACAAGGCCUAAACUGAGAUCCAUCCAGGAUGACAUCAGAACCAGGCCCAGGCAGGGACCUCCCAGGGAAGGGAUGCCCCACGGGGACCUCAGAGGGGUGCUUGGUGGCUCCUGGGCAGGGCGCCUCACUGAGCCGCCUCUGUUUGUGUCAGGGAGACCUGGGCUCCUUAAUGAUGCUGCCCUUGGGCACCUGAGCUGUUCUCCCCUGGACCUCACGGGGCACACACAGGUGGAGGAGGGCUCUGUAAAACUUCUGAGAGAGGUGGGGUGCAGCAAGGGGCAAAAUCAGGACCCCUGCGCACACUCCACCCCUGACACAGAGCCCUUCCCUCCAAGAUGGGCAACAUGGCUAGGAACCCAAGCCUUUCUGGGAGAGCUGGGCCUGAAUCCUGCCCCUGCUGACAUGCUUGGUGACCGUGAGCUAAUGACUGAGCUCACUAAGCCUCAGUUUCUUUAUCUGUGAAAUGGGCAGAGUGACAGUGUCUGCUGCAAGGGGCUCUGGCGUGGUGCAUUCAUCCCAAGGGACAGGGAUUGUAGGGGGUGAGAGGCCUUGAGAAGAGACCACAGCCAAGACAGGAGGGCUGUGGCCCAGGGCACAUCCAACCACCUUCCCAGGUGAGCUAGUGAAGGAGCGGCCAGUGCCACGUGGGUCUGGCUCCAAGCUGGGACACCAGUUCCUCCCUUCGGGGGCCCAGGCCUCUGGCAGCAGACUUCCCUCAGGUUCCUGGUCCAGGCAGGGCAGGGACGAGUUGCUGGGGUCCCAUUUGAGGUUUACUCCCAUCCUGGGCAGGAAGGGUGCAUGGAGGAGUAGAGGCAGCUGGUCCCUGUCCACAGGAUGGAGGUGUCCCUGGGCCUGUGCUGAGUAAGGCCACUCAGGGUGGACAGGGUGGCUGCCUGGAAGAAGCAUCCUGGGCUGGGCUGGCUGGGAGGGUGAGGGCAGUGGGACGUAUGGGGGAGAGUUGGGAGAUGCAGCUAGUUUUGACGCUUCUACAUCGGGGACCCAGUUCACGUGGCCGCGGCUUGCUCCCGCUAGACAGGAAGUUAAAUAGCCAACCACACGUAGAGAAUUUUCCCGACCCGGUUCUGAAGCCGAGAGUUCGCCUGGUGCAAAGGGGUGGGUGAUUCCCCUUUUCUCAGGGGUCACCGCUGAGGGCAGUUUGUGCCUCGUUCCUGUCUCUUCGAAUCAUUACAACAAAACCUGGGUCACCCCAGUGCCACCCCAUCUUACAGAAGAGGCAGGUGGAGGAAAAGUCAGGGGAGUUGCUGGUGAGAGACAGAUGAGGGUCUUGCCCAGGACCGCUGUGCCCUAGGGCCACCCACCUCAGUUCUGGGCGCCAGCAGCGCUGUUGCUUUCAGGAAGCUUGUACUUGGGUCUCUGCCCCACCCCUGCUUCCAACUUAGGUCCCUACCUGGGUCCCCAAUCUCUCUGCCUUGUCGAAAGAGAUGAGUGCCGCAGGGAAGCAGCCCCAGGCUUGGGGGAGCCAUUUCUAAUGGGAAAACAUGCACAUUUGCCUAAAUGAAUCAAAUCCAUUUCUUUCCCAUACAUAUUUCAUGGGCUUCCUCUCUGUGUAAUUUAAUUAUCACAGUUGUUAGUGUUAAUGUCCUGGUUGGUGCAGCUCUGCUCCCCAGACCCUCGGAGCCUAAUUGGGCACAGGGCUCUGAGGAGGAACCGGGAGGGUGGACCCAUCUCUAUGGCAACAGGAUGUGAUAAUAUUUCCGGGUGAUCUAUUGCUUUAAUCUUGAGGGCUCUGAGUAUAUUGCCAGCAUUAAUAAAUAAAUCUAAAUAACACCCUGGCGAGAUUGAUAUUAUUCUAUCCAUUUUACUGUUGGAUGAACAGCAGCUCUGGGGGGUUAAAUGCCUGGCCUGGGGGAGAGGUGAGAAAGAUAGGGAUUGUGGAAAUGCCUGCUGGGUGCUGCCCUGGCUCCUGGGAGGCCCUGACAUCCCGGCUGGAGGGGCUGGGUCAGGGGCCACAGAAGCCUCGGAGACCCAGUGGAAUGGUGAUGGCCAAGCGUGUUCUGGAUGUACAAUCCAUUCCUCUUUGCAACCGGGUGGGAGCAGGGCAGCAGGAAGGACCCUCGGGCCCUCAACGUCGCUCCUCUGUUUUCUAAGUCCAGACAGUCCACCCAGAGAGCAUCCAUCCUUUGGCCUUUGUACGUUCAACAGUACAUUUCUUGGAAGAAAUAACCUUUAAUCCAAUACCAGUCUAGGUACCCCGUAGUGAGAGCUACCAGGAUGAUUUCUCCGAUUCAGGGCUGAACGCACACACCUUAUUCAGAGGAGACCUCCCCUCCCCUUGGCUGUCCUGGGGCUUCCUUCAACUCGAGGAGCUGGGCCUUUCCCUAAGGGCACCACGUGCUUCCUGGCCUGGCCGCAGAGGCCAGAGUUACCCUGCGCUCACACUCGCGCCUGCCCUGGGGGGCUGGGUCCCGGCACUGCUCGGUUGUGAGUCCUCUCCUCUCCGUGCGGUGAGGCCCUCACCUCCGUCUGCACGUGGGCCAGAGUAGCUGCUCCGCCUCCAGCCUCACCCCCCCCCCCCCCCCGCUUGCCAGCACAGCCCCCGCACAGGUCCCGGGUCGAGUUUGUUAAGCAGCUUCCUUCCUCCUUCUAGGUGAGGACCCUUUUGAGGGUCCUUCUGCGAACCUUAGUCAGGCCCACCCAGUCCACCAGAGGGGGCCUAAUAACGUGGGGCCAAAAGACAAGGGGUCUGCAGGCCUGUCCCUUUCAUGAAGGUGCCUCCUUUGCUCCUGGUCAGAUUGACUGGUCCCCUGUCUCUGGGACCAGCUAUGUCCACGCAGGAGACUUAAGUGCGGCAUUAGGUCCAAGUGUGCCUCAUUUGGCCGUGAGGUCAGAUCAUCUCAGACUGAGGUCAUUUUAGACUGUUUCAGGUCUUUCUGCGAAAGAAGGUCAGUUCCAGGAUGCUGUGCCGACGGCUUCUCUGGCUGAAACAGGAGUGUGGCCUCCUUGGGCUCCUGGUCCCGCCUGUGCACUUUCUCCCUCCCGCACUCUCUGUGAACCCCUGGUCUCCCCUGUCAGCGUGGGAGCUGAGCGCCGUGCCUGUGGAGCGGUUGCGUUUCGGGGGCGUCUCUCCAGCCCACACCACCUUGCUCCGCACCCGCCUCCCUGGCCACGGCUGAUGGGAGCAGGUGUGAGCACCUGCCUCAAGCUGAUCCAAUCACAUUCUCCCUCCCAGUCACUGGGGAUUGGGCCUCAGACAACUGAGAUUGUACCUGAACCGCGAAUGAAGGAGGCAGCUGGCC